rnacentral:sRNA from 1 species
GCGUAUCUGCUGCGGCGAAAUGAAGUGGAUAUGCGUGUCCAGGCCGCCUGCGGUGACGAUGAGCCCUUCGCCGGCGAGCGCCUCGGUGCCCGACCCGACUUCAAGCCCAGGUGUCACGCCGCUCAUGGUCUGCGGGUUGCCCGCCUUGCCGAUGGCGCUGAUCAGGCCGUUCUUGAUGCCGAUAUCAGCCUUGUAGAUGCCCGUGUAGUCCACGAUGAGGGCGUUGGUGAUGACGGUGUCGGGCGAUUCGGCGUCGCUUUGGACGGAGGACUGCCCCAUGCCGUCGC